rnacentral:ncRNA from 1 species
AUAUUAUUUUAUUUUGGUUAAUAUUUUUAUUAUUAUUUUAUUUUACAUGUAAAUUUUUGUGUGAAUUUAUUUAAUUUUUAAAAAAUUAUUUAAUUAUUUUAUUCACAGUGAUUGAUAUUAAUAUAAAAAAGAAAUUUUGUAUUAGUAAUAAUAUAUAGUAUUGGUAAAAUUUGUGCCAGCUACCGCGGUUAUACAAAUAAUACAAAUAAAAAUUUUUAGUAGUAGUUAAAUUGAUCAAAUUUUAAUAUAAAUAUAAAUUUAUUAGGUGAAAUUUUUAAAUUUAUUUAUUAUUAAUUUAAAAAAUAAUUUAAGCUAUAAACUUUUUAUAAUAAACUAGGAUUAGAUACCCUAUUAUUAAAAAUAAAUAUGAGCAUACUAAAGUAGUAUUAGUUAUAUUCUUAAAAUUUAAAAAAUUUGGCGGUAUUUUAGUCUAUUCAGAGGAAUCUGUCCUGUAAUUGAUAAUCCACAUUGAACCUUACUUAAAUUUGUUUAAUUUGUAUAUCGCCGUCAUCAGAAUAUAUUAUAAGAUAAAAUUUUCUUAAUAUCUAAUAAGAUAAUAUGUCAGGUCAAGGUGCAGUUUAUGUUUAAGUAGAGAUGGAUUACAAUAAAUUUAUUUAAUAUGAAUUAUUUUUUGAAAUAAAAAUUUGAAAGUGGAUUUGAAAGUAAUAUAAAAAAGAUUAUUUAUAUGAUUUUAGCUCUAAAAUAUGCACAUAUCGCCCAUCGUUCUUAUUUUUAAAAUAAGAUAAGUUGUAACAUAGUAGAUGUACUGGAAAGUGUAUCUAGAAAGA